CCUACGGGAGGCAGCAGUGGGGAAUAUUGCACAAUGGGGGAAACCCUGAUGCAGCGACGCCGCGUGAGUGAAGAAGUAAUUCGUUAUGUAAAGCUCUAUCAGCAGGGAAGAAAAUGACGGUACCUGAGUAAGAAGCCACGGCUAACUACGUGCCAGCAGCCGCGGUAAUACGUAGGGGGCAAGCGUUAUCAGGAUUUACUGGGUGUAAAGGGAGCGUAGACGGCAGUGAAAGUCGGGAGUGAAAGGCGGGGGCUCAACCCUCGGACUGCUCUUGAUACUGUCCGGCUGGAGUGCAGUAGAGGUAAGUGGAAUUCGUGGUGUAGCGGUGAAAUGCGUAGAUAUUAGGAGGAACACCGGUGGCGAAGGCGGCUUACUGAACUGACACUGACGUUGAGGCUCGAAAGCGUGGGGAGCAAACAGGAUUAGAUACCCCAGUAGUC
rnacentral:rRNA from 1 species